rnacentral:rRNA from 1 species
AGUCGAACGCGGUUAGUAGCAAUACUAACUGAGUGGCGAACGGGUGAGUAACACGUGGGUGACCAUACCUUCGAGUGGGGGAUAACGUCCCGAAAGGGACGCUAAUACCGCAUAACAUCCUGCCUUUGAAGAGGUGGAGAUCAAAGCCGGGGAUCGCAAGACCUGGCGCUUGAUGAGGGGCCCGCGUCCGAUUAGCUAGUUGGCGGGGUAAUGGCCCACCAAGGCGACGAUCGGUAGCCGGCCUGAGAGGGCGGACGGCCACACUGGGACAGAGACACGGCCCAGACUCCUACGGGAGGCAGCAGUGGGGAAUUGUUCGCAAUGGGCGCAAGCCUGACGACGCAACGCCGCGUGGAGGAUGAAGGUCUUCGGAUUGUAAACUCCUGUUGCCCGGGACGAAUGGCUCCAACCUAACACGUUGGAGUGUGACGGUACCGGGUGAGGAAGCCCCGGCUAACUCUGUGCCAGCAGCCGCGGUAAUACAGAGGGGGCAAGCGUUGUUCGGAAUUACUGGGCGUAAAGGGCGCGUAGGCGGCCUUCUAAGUCGAACGUGAAAUCCCCGGGCUCAACCCGGGAACUGCGUCCGAUACUGGAAGGCUUGAAUCCGGGAGAGGGAUGUGGAAUUCCAGGUGUAGCGGUGAAAUGCGUAGAUAUCUGGAGGAACACCGGUUGGCGAAGGCGACAUCCUGGACCGGUAUUGACGCUUAGGCGCGAAAGCCAGGGGAGCAAACGGGAUUAGAUACCCCGGUAGUCCUGGCCCUAAACGAUGAAUGCUUGGUGUGGCGGGUAUCGAUCCCUGCCGUGCCGAA